GACGAACGCUAGCGGCGUGCUUAACACAUGCAAGUCGAACGGAAAGACCCUGCUUUUGUGGGGUGCUCGAGUGGCGAACGGGUGAGUAACACGUGAGUAACCUGCCCUUGACUUUGGGAUAACUUCAGGAAACUGGGGCUAAUACCGGAUAGGAGCUACUGCUGCAUGGUGGGGGUUGGAAAGUUUCGGCGGUUGGGGAUGGACUCGCGGCUUAUCAGCUUGUUGGUGGGGUAGUGGCUUACCAAGGCUUUGACGGGUAGCCGGCCUGAGAGGGUGACCGGCCACAUUGGGACUGAGAUACGGCCCAGACUCCUACGGGAGGCAGCAGUGGGGAAUAUUGCACAAUGGGCGGAAGCCUGAUGCAGCAACGCCGCGUGCGGGAUGACGGCCUUCGGGUUGUAAACCGCUUUCGCCUGUGACGAAGCGUGAGUGACGGUAAUGGGUAAAGAAGCACCGGCUAACUACGUG
rnacentral:rRNA from 1 species